AUGUUCUGGAAAGGACCAGAAUGCCCCUCUGCUUAGAUAGUGAGCCACGUGGAUGGGUUCUUUGCAUUUCUUUGAAACCUGCUCUUUCUAUGCCACAACAACUCAUGACUUCCACCAACUCAUUUCUUUGCUUCUAUCUCUCCCUCUUUCUCUCAUUUUUUUAUCUCUUUCUCUCUCUCACGUCUAUGUUUUUCUUCUCCCUCUUUCUCUUCUUCUUCAUUCACUCUCUUCUCCCUCUUUCUCUUCUUCCUCGAAACGAAAGGCUACAGUGGUGCGAACAGGGGAGAAGAUGACGAAAGGCUAAUUUGGCGACGAUGUCGGAUUCGUAACGAACAUGUGGUGGUCGGCCACUGUUUAUGCAAUUUGAAGGUAAUGUUUUCUACCUUCACUCCAAGUUGCUUCUGAUAUAUUAUGCUUUCCUCUUCAUCCUUUUUUCCAGAUCCAACACUUUCGUGGCUUAGGUUUUUUAGAUCCAACACUUUUGUGGCUUAGGGUUUCCAGAUCCAACACUUUCAUGACUUAGGGUUUGCGGAUCCAACGCUUUAUGUUUCUUCUGUAUAGGAUGCAAUAAGUGGUAGUGGUGGUGGUGGUUGCGUGCCUUCUCAUGUCGACAUAUUUUUUUAGGUGAAAGGACAUUGUUGUUAUUUUCUUAUUCCAAUGAUUAUCGAGCAAUACAUGUGUCUCUGGUGAAGGUGUACUUAAAGGUGUGUUUCGAUGGUGAAGAAGAAACAUAUGAGUGGAGACAAUGGGUUACCAGUAUGGUGGUGGUGGUGGAAACGGGCUUGCGACGACGAGUGUGGUGGUGGUGGUUGAAAUGGGUUAGCAACGAUGAGUUUGUAUGUGGUGUAUUGAUUGGCUUAGCAAUGGAUAGAAUGCAGCAGUUUCUGUAUAUUAGGAGUUUUGAAACAAGUCCUGGGCUGGCCUUUGUGAGCUUCUAUAUUUCCUUUUAUUCCUUCCUUCCAUUCAGCCUUAGAUGUGUUCCUCCAAUAAUUUAAUUGUUGUAUCUUUUUCCAUUGACAUAAUGAUAUCUAUAAAUGGUUUCUGGCCUUAUCUAAUCUCUCAUAAAUUUAAUUCAUUGCAUGUAAAUGUAUUUCUAUAUUUUAUGAGUCAGAUAAACAUAACAUGCUUUAUUAUUUGGAAAAGAAAGCAUGUUGAGUUACAAUACCGGUGCAUGAGUUGUAAUUAUUCUCAUUAUCACUUUCUUCAUUCUGGUGUAUGUAUGUAUCAGUGGUUCCUUUUAGGAAGUUAUUUGUAUGGUACUUCAUUUUUUUUCUCUUGCAGAAAAAAUCAAUACCUGAACUUUUAAAUUCUUUAGAUACCUAUUCGAUAUUUUGAUACUUUCAACAUAUACUAACAUGUAAAGUUUCACACGUAGACUCUGUUUCAUGCUACUGUAAAGUAGAUCCAGUCUUGAAAACAAUGGUCGGGCCAAGGAAAUUUGUUUCAGGAUCGAAGAGAUCUAUCCAACCUGACAUAAACCCGAAUGCAUAUAGGAAUUAAAACUUGCGCAAAGAGAAGACUAUAGUUCAACCUCCUCUGCUACCUGGUCUUCUCGAUGAUCUUGCUACCGCGUGUUUGCAUUUAGGGUUGCCUUUGUUUAUUAUAUCUUGGUUAAGGUUGUCAUGUUUUUCAUUUCACUCUUAUUAUAAUGAGUCUUUGUUUUCUUGGAUAAAAUAACAGAGUAAUGGUUUGUGAAGAAUCAUCAUCUACGAUUCAGUUUCUCAAUAUUGCUACUGCUGCUGAUUCAUGAACAAUGCAUUCUUGCAGGCUCAAACUAGAAUACCGCUAGGAGAAGUUUUGCAGAUAAGAUUGGAUGAUCAACUUCUUACAUCAGAAUUACUUGCUGAUGGAGAAUUGCUGUUUCAAGUAUCAAAAGUAAUAUGGAAAUUACUGUUGGAAAAGCAUCUGGAGCUUAGGCACAUAAUAGCAUACAAAAAUCAUCCAUUUUCUUCUAAAAGAAACAGUGCCAUAUAUAGGCCUUCAUUCAUCUUCAGUUUUGAUACUCUCACUCAACAACCUGAACCUUCAAAAAGCUCAACAAACUUUGCACCUUUAGCUUAACAGAUCUGAUACAACCUUCCAUCACAUAACCGAAAACUCAAAUUCCUCCAUCAAUAAUCACUUAACUAAUUUGAGACCUCACCUUCAUCAAUCUUUGAACCAAACAACAACUCUGCUUCACACUCAGAUCACGACUUCGACCGAUCUGCAUCAUAGCAAUACGCGUGCUUCUCAUCAGCAGGCAGCAUCACAUCUUUGACACUCGGUGAACCUGCAUCAUAAACAACGACAACAUCACGACCGAACGCUACACCUUCAUCAAAGUUACGACCCGUACCAAUUUCAACUUGAAGCUUCGCAACAAAUACGCCGCAGCAUAACGUCUCCAUUGAUAUGUUUCACUCAGCUUCAACGCAACAACAAUACAUUAUCAAUUUGUCUCAUUUUAUAUCCUUUAUUAUAUGAUAAAGUGUGAUGUUCAUUUUCCUUCUUGUGCUAUUAACUUUGUUUGGUGAAAAGGGUUGUUUGAGUUGUUAACUUUGUCCUAUUGAAGACCUCCAUAUCUUUGGGAAAAUUGUGAAGCAGUAGAUUAAUGUUACCCUUGAACUUCUUCUUUACAAGCUUUUAGGAGUUACACAUUGUAUAUGAUUGUUUGCAUUUAUUAUUGAUCAAACCUUACUAUAUGUACACUACAGAUCCCUAAGGAAAGUAUGAAGCAGUAGAAAAAUAUGGAAAAGACCUGACAGCAAUGGAAAAAGCAGGAAAACUUGAUCCAGUUAUAGGGAAAGAUGAUGAAAUACACAGGUGCAUCCAAAUUUUGUCAAUGGCCAUAAUAAUAUUUGUUUGCUUUUUUAGGAAAAGAUAUUAGUUUGCUUUUUUAGUAAAAGAUAUUUAGAGCAAGUAAGGAUUGAGUUUGUUACUUUGUAAUUUUAUUUCUAUUAUGAACUCAGAAGUGAGUUUUCAUAUUUAUACAGUCUAUUGAGAAACUGAAUUGCAGGGUAGUUGUUAGUUUAAUG